GGUUCCGUCUGGAGCUGACCUUGCCAAUAGAUUUUGAUGAGACCACUGCGCAUCCACUUCUGCUGAUCCUGUACCUGACCAAGCUGCCAUAUGUGGAUACAAACAAGGUGGCAGUUUAUGGAAAGGCUUAUGUGGACUUCCUGAGCUCUCUUCUUCUCUCCUCUGGCUCCAUGUUCAAGUGUGGGGUUGCGGUUGCUCCUGUGACAGACUGGAGACUCUACG